rnacentral:rRNA from 1 species
GGGGAAUAUUGCGCAAUGGGCGAAAGCCUGACGCAGCGACGCCGCGUGAGGGAUGAAGGUUUUCGGAUCGUAAACCUCUGUCAGAAGGGAAGAAACUACGCUGUGCUAAUCAGCAGUGUACUGACGGUACCUUCAAAGGAAGCACCGGCUAACUCCGUGCCAGCAGCCGCGGUAAUACGGAGGGUGCAAGCGUUAAUCGGAAUUACUGGGCGUAAAGCGCACGUAGGCUGUAGUGUAAGUCAGGGGUGAAAUCCCACGGCUCAACCGUGGAACUGCCUUUGAUACUGCACAACUUGAAUCCGGGAGAGGGUGGCGGAAUUCCAGGUGUAGGAGUGAAAUCCGUAGAUAUCUGGAGGAACAUCAGUGGCGAAGGCGGCCACCUGGACCGGUAUUGACGCUGAGGCACGAAAGCGUGGGGAGCGAAC